rnacentral:rRNA from 1 species
GGGAGGCAGCAGGCGGGAAUAUUGUACACUGCACGAAAGUGCGAUACAGCGACGCCGCGUGGGGGAAGACGCUUCUCGAAGUGUAAACCUCGAACGGGUAGGGACGAACGCCGCUCGGUUAAUACCCGGGCGGUCUGACGGUACCUGCUACGAAGCUCCGGCCAACUCCGUGCCAGCAGCCGCGGUAAUACGGGGGGAGCGAGCGUUGUUCGGAAUUACUGGGCGUAAAGGGCGUCUAGGUGGACCACCAAGUCAGAGGUGAAAUCUCCCGGCUCAACCGGGAGCCUGCCUUUGAAACUGAUGGUCUUGAGUGCGGGAGAGGUAUGGGGAAUUCCCAGUGUAGCGGUGAAAUGCGUAGAUAUUGGGAGGAACGCCGGUGGCGAAGGCGCCAUACUGGCCUAGCACUGACACUGAAGCGCGAAAGCGUGGGGAGCAAACAGGAUUAGAUACCC